rnacentral:lncRNA from 1 species
GGUUCCCACGUGAGCCCUGGUGCUAUAGAGAGCCGGCCGUCCUCCAGGGGUGAGCUGGGGAGUGACUUGAGGCUGUGACGGGGUCGCCCUCGGUGUGGGCAAGUGAGUCCUCUGUGGCCAAGAGGUCAGAGUCGUCCCUGAGGCUGAGUCGAACACAGACCCGUGGCCCUCAUAAAAUUAAACAUAAAAGCACAAAAAUGGCGCAACCAGACAGCAUUGGCUUCAGACAGGCAGGACACGGGGCCCCUCGUGUGACCUGUGACUUUCCACAAAGGGCAAGGACCUGGCACUGACUCCGGCCAGUGGAGAAGGCUGUGCCGCCCACCCGGCCAUGACUCAGACCCAGAGGCUGAAAGCCACAGACGGGGCCGCAGGGCAGCAGCUCCCGGGCUCUCGUGAAACACUUCAGAAGGAAAAAAACCUAAGGAACAGAAUCCUGAAUGGAGAAAACCCAACUUUUUUAAAAAAGAAGGAAGUGUAUGAUGGGAAUCUACGGGGUGGGUUUUCUUUAAGAGGUGAGAACUUGGAAUCUUGCAAGCACUGGGAGUGGACUCCGGCGGCGGCGCAGACGUGGAGCAGGGAGCGUCCUCGGGCCAC